rnacentral:rRNA from 1 species
UACGAAGGGGGCUAGCGUUGUUCGGAAUUACUGGGCGUAAAGCGUAUGCAGGCGGACUUUUAAGUCGGGGGUGAAAUCCCGAGGCUCAACCUCGGAACUGCCUUCGAUACUGGAAGUCUUGAGUCCGGGAGAGGUGAGUGGAACUCCGAGUGUAGAGGUGGAAAUUCGUAGAUAUUCGGAAGAACACCAGUGGCGAAGGCGGCUCACUGGCCCGGUACUGACGCUGAGAUACGAAAGCGUGGGGAGCGAACAGG